GGGUUCCAAUAAUCACUAGAUGAUGCAACAGAGUCAGAGAUAUAAAGAAAGUGAAGUGUUCCACUCGUUCACAUUUAACGGAUCCAUAUGUCUGGUAGGCAAUAAUUCGCAUAAAUAACUUAGACCACACAAUAAACACAGACAUCGUUCAUUUUAUUUCAAUGGGCUUGGCCGUGGUGUUUAUUAAAGCUUGAAAAUGGGGCAUACCACCAGUAAC